rnacentral:lncRNA from 1 species
GACCCGAUGCUGUCAGAGAGCGUGCAUGAAGAAGAAAGUUAAUGGUAUUUCCAUUUAUAUAAGAAGCGCCUAAGAAAUGCCUGUGACGUUCGUGAACUAGUGAUUGUGAAUUCCAAAUUUGAUGCCAACUUUAUGUGUAAAGAAGCUAACUCCUGCCAACAUCGUGGCUGAAUGAACAGCUGGGACUAUGCUUAACCCAUUCCCAGCUUAUAAAAGCCCCAUGGCAGCUGCAGUGAAGCAUCAGAAAAGUAUAGUAAGAAGAAACUGAAUUUGAAGUGGAUUCUUACAAAGGAAAAAGAAAAUCACUAUUAUUAUGUGAUGCAACAAAAUUCAAAUAUGAAAACCAUCUCGGAGGCCGGGCGCGGUGGCUCACGCCUUUAAUCCCAGCACUUUGGGAGGCCGAGGUGGGUGGAUCAUUUGAGGUCAGAAGUUCAAGACCAGCCUGGCCAACACGGUGAAACCCUGUCUCUACUAAAAAUACAAAAAUUAACUGGGCGUGGUGGCACAUGCCUGUAAUCCCAGCUACUCGGGAGGCUGAGGCAGGAGAAUUGCUUGAACCUGGGAGGCGGAGGUUGCAGUGAGCCGAGAUCACGCCAUUGUUCUCCAGCCUGGGCAACAAGAGCAAAACUCUGUCUCAAAAAUAAAAUAAAAAAUUGCUUUAAAAAAUAAAAAU